rnacentral:rRNA from 1 species
GACGUAGGGCGCGAGCGUUGUCCGGAUUUAUUGGGCGUAAAGAGCUCGUAGGCGGCUUGUCGCGUCGUUCGUGAAAACCUGCAGCUCAACUGCAGGCUUGCGGUCGAUACGGGCAGGCUGGAGUUCGGUAGGGGAGACUGGAAUUCCUGGUGUAGCGGUGAAAUGCGCAGAUAUCAGGAGGAACACCGGUGGGCGAAGGCGGGGUCUCUGGGGCCGAU